rnacentral:rRNA from 1 species
UACGUAGGGGGCAAGCGUUGUCCGGAUUUAUUGGGCGUAAAGAGCGUGUAGGCGGUUUGGUAGGUCCGUUGUGAAAACUCGAGGCUCAACCUCGAGACGCCGAUGGAAACCAUCAGACUAGAGUCCGGAAGAGGAGAGUGGAAUUCCUGGUGUAGCGGUGAAAUGCGUAGAUAUUAGGAAGAACACCAGUGGCGAAGGCGGCUUUCUGGACUGUAACUGACGCUGAGGCACGAAAGCGUGGGGGAGCAAACAGG